ACUAUUUUGGCAGAUAAAUGUAUUAAAUUUAGAAUUUAAUUAUGUAAUUUUAUUACAAUUAGUA
rnacentral:tRNA from 1 species